rnacentral:misc_RNA from 1 species
AGUUUGGGUAUAAAAAAAAUAAUGGGAGGGACUAAAAAAUUAAUUGAAUCAAAUUACAUGAACUAUCUAAUGUGUUUUUCAAAAUGUAAAGAUCAAUUAAUUUAUUUCACUAAAAUAGAUGGACUAAAUAUUAGUUUGAUUGGGAUUAAAUCCUUUGAUUAAUAGAAAAUUUGACAGAGGGACUAAAAUAUUUUUAACGAAAGUAAAAUACAGGAACUAAAUAGUAUAUUUUUAAGAUACAAGGAUUAAGUAGUU